rnacentral:rRNA from 1 species
AGCUAUACAUGCAAAUAGAGUUCCGACCAGAGAUGGAAGGAAUGCUUUUAUUAGAUCAAAACCAAUCGGUGGCGGGCUUGCCUUGCUCACCGUUUGACUUGGUGACUCUGAAUAACUUUGUGCUGAUCGCACGGUCUAGUACCGGCGACGCAUCUUUCAAAUGUCUGCCUUAUCAACUGUCGAUGGUAGUUUCUGCGACUACCAUGGUUGUUACGGGUAACGGGGAAUCAGGGUUCGAUUCCGGAGAGGGAGCCUGAGAAACGGCUACCACAUCCAAGGAAGGCAGCAGGCGCGCAAAUUACCCACUCCCGGCACGGGGAGGUAGUGACGAAAAAUAACGAUACGGGACUCAUCCGAGGCCCCGUAAUCGGAAUGAGUACACUUUAAAUCCUUUAACGAGGAUCUAUUAGAGGGCCAGUCUGGUGCCAGCAGCCGCGGUAAUUCCAGCUCUAAUAGCGUAUAUUAAAGUUGUUGCGGUUAAAAAGCUCGUAGUUGAAUCUGUGUCCCACACUGUCGGUUCACCGCUCGCGGUGUUCAACUGGCAUGUCUGUGGGACGUCCUACCGGUGGGCUUAGCCCGUCAAAAGGCGGCCCAACUCAAAAUCCUACCACGGUGCUCUUCACCGAGUGUCGAGGUGGGCCGGUACGUUUACUUUGAACAAAUUAGAGUGCUUAAAGCAGGCUCAUUCGCCUGAAUAUUGUGUGCAUGGAAUAAUGGAAUAGGACCUCGGUUCUAUUUUGUUGGUUUUCGGAAUUCCGAGGUAAUGAUUAAUAGGGACAACUGGGGGCAUUCGUAUUGCGACGUUAGAGGUGAAAUUCUUGGAUCGUCGCAAGACGGACAGAAGCGAAAGCAUUUGCCAAAUGUGUUUUCAUCAAUCAAGAACGAAAGUUAGAGGUUCGAAGGCGAUCAGAUACCGCCCUAGUUCUAACCAUAAACGAUGCCAGCUAGCGAUCCGCCGAAGUUCCUCCGAUGACUCGGCGGGCAGCUUCCGGGAAACCAAAGCUUUUGGGUUCCGGGGGAAGUAUGGUUGCAAAGCUGAAACUUAAAGGAAUUGACGGAAGGGCACUACAAGGAGUGGAGCCUGCGGCUUAAUUUGACUCAACACGGAAACCUCACCA